rnacentral:rRNA from 1 species
UUUCUCCUACGGGAGGCAGCAGUGAGGAAUAUUGGUCAAUGGCCGAGAGGCUGAACCAGCCAAGUCGCGUGAGGGAAGACGGCCCUACGGGUUGUAAACCUCUUUCGUCAGGGAACAAAGGCGGGGACUAGUCCCCGGAUGAGGGUACCUGAAGAAAAAGCAUCGGCUAACUCCGUGCCAGCAGCCGCGGUAAUACGGAGGAUGCGAGCGUUAUCCGGAUUUAUUGGGUUUAAAGGGUGCGCAGGCGGCCUGUUAAGUCAGCGGUAAAAGCCCGGGGCUCAACCCCGGCGAGCCGUUGAAACUGG